CUGAUUGGUUGAAAACGAAAAACGUCACUUCCGCAGGUUCGUUAAGUACGUAAGUCGCACGUUCCUUGGACACGUUUGUCAUUCGUUUGUUGAACGUCAAGGAGAAAGCAGCGUUUGAUUUUUGGAUCCUUUUUCAAAAUUUUUUCAUUCCAUUUUACUGUUAUAUCUCAAUCACUCGGUGUUUUUGUAUCUCUUGCAUCUAGGCAACAAAGACUGUGUGUUUUUUGGGGUGUAAUGUGUCUUGAAGUUAUGACAAUGAACGAAAACUACCAGAAGGACACCGAGACCGCGCCAGUUCAUAAGAAGAAAUGGUCAAAAUCAAAGAGGAAAACAUUUUUGCGUGCAAAAAUCAGCGAAAGGAGGCGACGGGUCCGCGCCUGGUCAGUCAAGAGACCGCAGCUGUGUCUGGACCGUGUCGACGAUACAGUAACAAGGAAUAAAACACCGAUUGCCAUGGCACCAAGAAACACAACCCAGUAUUUAAUGGACUUGGUCUACGCUGAACGAUUAGAUGUUUCAUUGGAGACAUGUGACGUAAGCCAUGAUUUCUCAAUGCAGAGUCAACAUGUCCAUUUUGAUGAGAGCGUUUUCUCAUUGUCGGACUCUGAUUACGACAGAUCUUUGGCCUUUCAACAGCGAGACUUCGAGGACGUGUUCUUCAGGAAUGAAAUCUGACGUGUUUCCGAAACCUGAGUUGAUUUCGUCGGAACAAGACGACGACCUGGCAGCUGUGAAACCAUAGACAGACCGUAAUAUCAUUGCGCAGACUCCAACUCAGGGAGGCGGAACACUCUGCGUCACAGCUACGCGAUGACGUGUACGCCACGCCCCGCCUCCAGUAUGGUCACAACCACGUGGCCUGCAGGUAAACCCGCUCCACCCUUAAUGUACGCGGUGUUAGAGCGUUGCAGUAACCUGAUGUCGCAAUGUCAUUUCUGAGCAAAUGUGCAUGCAUUGUUCUGCCAACGGAUGCAUGUGUUUUGAGAGACUUUUACAGGUUGCUGAUCCUCCUCGACGGAUCUCAGCUGCCUGUGCAACCCACCCAGGGCCUUGGGACAAAGCCACAUGGCUGCCUGGUCAUCACUGCUGGGUAACUGUGGUAAAUGUUUGAAUGUGAGAUCACACAAGUGCACUCAGAUCUUCAUCUCAUGUGAUGCGAUCUUAUUUUGUGAACUGUUUGUAAAUAUUAUUAAUUUUCAAUAAUUGUAUUCAUUAUUAAAACGCACAUCUGAUUUACAUGUG